rnacentral:rRNA from 1 species
UAAUACGGGGGGUGCGAGCGUUGUCCGGAAUCACUGGGCGUAAAGGGCGCGUAGGUGGUUUGAUAAGGGUGUGGUGAAAGUCCGGGGCUCAACCCCGGAUCUGCCGUGCCGACUGUCAAACUCGAGGACUGUAGAGGCAGACGGAAUUCCGGGUGUAGCGGUGGAAUGCGUAGAGAUCCGGAGGAAGACCGGUGGCGAAGGCGGUCUG